AAGUAACAACGUCAUGAAAUAAUGGAUGUCGUUAAUAAAGAGAUUAUUUCGCGGAUAACAAUAACUUUAUUUUCAUACGGGGCGUGGUCAGUUUGCAAACACAACACCACUUGCUCGUGUCUCCUGCCUCAGCUCUGACUUUGACAGCAGGCCGGGGUUUUUACACCAGAUCGACAAAUUAGCAGCAUAUUUUAGUUAAACCCUGCGGUUCAUUUUGGGCUUGAGGUCCAUUGGUUGCAUUGAUAUCACUGGCUUGCAUUGGAUUAACAGUGGAAACGCGAGUAGCAUAGACAAGAUGGAUAACAAACAACAUGUCUCUACUGUAACAGCGGCAAAUGUGUAAACUAAACUACAACCGGUACCAAGACUUGACGUGCAUAAUUAUGAUGACUCCAUGAUGUCCCACUUCAUACAUGUCCAUAAGGAUUAUGCUACAGAGGCAUACAGUAGCUAACUGCCACCAGCUGAGAACUGCCUGGUUAAACAUGCUGAAGAGAAAAUAGAAGAUGAGAAGCUGUUUCUCCAGUGUUGUGCUGGUGGAUCCACUAAUAUGCUGUUUCUAGAUCUGUUGUGGUGUGUUAACAUUGCUAUGUUGAAGCCAUUUGACAUAAAGUUUAAGUUCUUGAGAGGUUAUUAAGCACUUUUCAAUCUGAGAUUUGAAAUAACUGAGUUGAACAUGUUCAAGUAUUUCUUCUUUCAUGCAUUUCUCUGUCUCUGUCCAUCUCUUUCUCUAAGUAGUAUGUGAAGCCUGCAGUAGUUCUGUGGCAGUUGUUUGUUUUCUGUGAGUGCUUUGUUAAUUAAAAUUGUAUAAAACAGAUUGUCUACCCAUGAAAUCAUCAUUGUGUCUCUUUAACCCUUCAUGUGUUUUGUUAAGAUAUAGUGACUGCAAAGGCCAUAGCAUACUGUAUGAUUGCAUCUUUAUUUUACCAAGUAAUCUGGCAAGACUGAAAGUAGCAUUUAUGCGGAACAAUUUUUUAAAACUUAAAAGUUUUUAUCCGAAAUGUUGUGCAGUAACAAGAAACAAGUAACAAGAAAAAUGUGGUUCAAUAAUCUGAUACUGCAGAAUUAUACUA